ACAAGGAAUUGUAUUUGAGACACUUAUGGUUUCUUUUGAAUGUGAGGUAGCGUGUAAAGUAGAAGAAGAGUAAAAAAAUAUGACAUUCAGCCCUGCCUCCAUGGAUGAAUCUAAAUUUUCUAAAUCUCUAAAUCUGGGAUCUUAAGCAUCACUUUUUCAUAUCUGAAGUUACUAAAGAGACAUGUACACACCACCACAUGACAGGACGGAUUUACUCUCUAGGACUACCGUAGGUACCUCAGCUGGUUACAGGCCCGGAAAAGAAAACUGAACUAAACUUCAUGCCAAGAAAAAUAUUACAAAAAAUAAGCUGAGUUGUCUGCCCAGUGAAUCUACUCCAGUGGUCCUUUACUAAAUUAAAUGUGCUGAACUGAUGUCAGUGGAAGUAUUAACUCAGCAAUGAAGGCAGGACUGGACUUACCUAGUCAGAAGAAAGCCACCGAAAUGCCAUUCUACCAUUUGCUUGGGAGCACUGCUGAUGGAAGGUACAGAUGGCACGCAUAUGUAAAGAAACUGGGAGAUUCAAAGAUUUGCAUGACCCUACUCCUCUUCUGCUUACUGAAAACCCAUUAAAUGUUAAUCAUAAGA